rnacentral:rRNA from 1 species
UUUCCGGUUGAUCCUGCCGGAGGCCAUUGCUAUCGGAGUCCGAUUUAGCCAUGCUAGUCGUACGAGUUCACACUCGUGGCGAAUAGCUCAGUAACACGUGGCCAAACUACCCUUCGGACCGCAAUACCCUCGGGAAACUGAGGCUAAUAGCGGACACCACACGCAGACUGGAAUGUCGCGUGUGUCAAACGCUCCGGCGCCGAAGGAUGUGGCUGCGGCCGAUUAGGUAGACGGUGGGGUAACGGCCCACCGUGCCGAUAAUCGGUACGGGUCAUGAGAGUGAGAGCCCGGAGACGGACUCUGAGACACGAGUCCGGGCCCUACGGGGCGCAGCAGGCGCGAAACCUUUACACUGCACGCACGUGCGAUAAGGGGACUCCGAGUGCGAGGGCAUAUCGUCCUCGCUUUCGUGUACCGUAGGGUGGUACACCAACAAGGGCUGGGCAAGACCGGUGCCAGCCGCCGCGGUAAUACCGGCAGCCCGAGUGAUGACCGAUCUUAUUGGGCCUAAAGCGUCCGUAGCUGGCUACGCAAGUCCGUCGGGAAAUCCACUCGCCCAACGAGUGGGCGUCCGGUGGAAACUGUGUGGCUUGGGACCGGAAGGCGCGACGGGUACGUCCGGGGUAGGAGUGAAAUCCUGUAAUCCUGGACGGACCGCCGAUGGCGAAAGCACGUCGCGAAAACGGAUCCGACAGUGAGGGACGAAAGCUAGGGUCUCGAACCGGAUUAGAUACCCGGGUAGUCCUAGCCGUAACACUGCCUGCUAGGUGUGGCACCCACUACGAGUGGGUGCUGUGCCGUAGGGAAGCCGCUAAGCAGGCCGCCUGGGAAGUACGUCCGCAAGGAUGAAACUUAAAGGAAUUGGCGGGGGAGCACUACAACCGGAGGAGCCUGCGGUUUAAUUGGAUUCAACGCCGGAA